GCCCUCAUGGUGUAACGGUUGGCACACUCGGCUCCUAUUCGAGAGGUCCAGGUUCGAGUCCUGGCGAGAGCA
rnacentral:tRNA from 1 species